GUUCUGAAUGGAAUGUUAAGUGUUGUAGCUGCUUAUAUCUCCACAUCCUGGACUUUUCUAAAUAGUAACAUAGAAAUACUGGAAUAUAAUACAGAUGAAGGCCCAGUCUUCUCUCACUGACCUCUAAGUAACAAACUAUUUGGCUUACUUCUGUUUUGGAAACUUCUGGACAUUCUGAUUCCUCAGGACUUCAGGCUGGCUGUUCAGUUGUGCAGAUGCAGGCCCAGCCUCCUUUAUUAUCCAAAGUCAACUAGAAUCUAACCAGCCAGGUGGACCUACUGUGUGACCCCCAUGAAUAUCAACACCAUCUCCCAUGAAGUGCCAUCUGGAUUGGAAUAUUUACUUCAGAUAGAUCACAUUCUGAUUCAUCAGCAGUUUGAGUUUGUGGAAGCGAUUUUAGGUUUUGAAACUGCGAACCAGUACAAAAUCAGUGACCAAGUAGGCCAGAAGGUUUACUACGCCGUGGAAGACUCUAACUUCUUAGCACGCAAUUGCUGUGGGGAUGCCAGGGCUUUCUCCAUGAGGAUCCUUAAUAACUCAGGUCAUGAAGUCAUAACUCUACAACGACCACUGCGAUGUGAUUCUUGUUUCUGCCCCUGCUGCCUCCAGAAGAUAGAAGUCCAAGCUCCUCCUGGUAUGCCAAUCGGUUAUGUUAUUCAAACCUGGCACCCAUUUCGGCCAAAGUUUACAGUUCAAAACGAGGAGAAACAGGACGUUCUAAAAAUUAUUGGUCCAAUCAUCAUGUGCAACAUUGGAGGAAAUAUAGAUUUUGAGAUCAAAUCUCUUGAUGAAGCGUUCGUGGUUGGCAGGAUUUCCAAGCACUGGUCUGGUUUUCUGAAGGAGAUGCUGACAGAUGUAGACAGUUUUGGGAUCCAGUUCCCUUUAGACCUUGAUGUAAAGAUAAAGGCAGUGAUGCUUGGUGCUUGUUUCCUCAUAGACUUCAUGUUUUUUGAAAGCAGUAGAAGCCACAGACCAAAAAUACGAUUAUGGUAAUGAAUCAAUGUAUUACAAAGACUGUGAAAAAAAGCAUUCAAAUAUAUGAAACUAUGAAGGCCAGCAUCAUGCAAACCACCACAAAGUCUUAUUGAAAACAUUCAUAUACCAAUCAGUGAAUAGUCAAGAUUUGCACUGCACAAUAGCUUUGAAAUGGAGAUAAGUUGCUGUCCAAAAGAAGUGGGAAGGCACCAUCAGUUGACCCUAUAGUUUGCAGGCUAGCUUACCAUCAUUACAGGUAGAUGUGUGGCACAUGCGCUGAAAUCACUUUAUCCUUCAAAUCUGCAAGGUGAACCGAUGACGCAGGCCACGAAUACACAUCUUCAAAAUAGCCAGGCCCAUUUACAAGAAGAUAGGAAAUUAGCAGUUGUUUAAUUUAAAUGUCAAUAAAAACAUCUUUAAAGCAUG